rnacentral:rRNA from 1 species
UACGUAGGGGGCAAGCGUUGUCCGGAAUCAUUGGGCGUAAAGCGCGUGUAGGCGGUCCGGUAAGUCCGCUGUGAAAGUCGGGGGCUCAACCCUCGGAUGCCGGUGGAUACUGUCGGGCUUGAGUACGGAAGAGGCGAGUGGAAUUCCUGGUGUAGUGGUGAAAUGCGUAGAUAUCGUAAGGAAGACCAGUGGCGAAGGCGGGUCUCUGGACAGUUCCUGACACUGAGGCACGAAGGCCAGGGGAGCAAACGGG